GACGAACGCUGGCGGCGUGCUUAACACAUGCAAGUCGAACGGUGAACCUCUUCGGAGGGGAUCAGUGGCGAACGGGUGAGUAACACGUGGGCAACCUGCCCCCGGCUCUGGGAUAACUCCAAGAAAUUGGGGCUAAUACCGGAUGUUCACCGCUUCCCGCAUGGGUGGUGGUGGAAAGGGUUUCCGGCUGGGGAUGGGCCCGCGGCCUAUCAGCUUGUUGGUGGGGUAGUGGCCUACCAAGGCGACGACGGGUAGCCGGCCUGAGAGGGGGACCGGCCACACUAGGACUGAGGGACGGCCCAGACUCCUACGGGAGGCAGCAGUGGGGAGUAUUGCGCAAUGGGCGGGAGCCUGACGCAGCGGCGCCGCGUGGGGGAUGACGGCCUUCGGGUUAUAAACCUCUUUCAGCGGGGACGAAGCGCAAGUGACGGUACCUGCAGAAGAAGCACCGGCCAACUACGUG
rnacentral:rRNA from 1 species